UACUCUAGUGGCGGACGGGUGAGUAACACGUAAGAAUUUGCCUUUAGGAGGGGGACAACAAUUGGAAACGAUUGCUAAUACCCCAUAUGCUUUCGAGUGAAAUGGUUUUUCCGCCUAAAGAGAAGCUUGCGGCUGAUUAGCUUGUUGGUAAGGUAAUGGCUUACCAAGGCGACGAUCAGUAUCUGGUUUGAGAGGACGAUCAGACACACUGGAACUGAGACACGGUCCAGACUCCUACGGGAGGCAGCAGUAGGGAAUUUUCCGCAAUGGGCGAAAGCCUGACGGAGCAAUACCGCGUGAGGGAUGACUGCCUAUGGGUUGUAAACCUCUUUUUUCAGGGAGGAAUAAAUGACGUGUACCUGAAGAAUAAGCAUCGGCUAACUCCGUGCCAGCAGCCGCGGUAAGACGGAGGAUGCAAGUGUUAUCCGGAAUCACUGGGCGUAAAGCGUCUGUAGGUGGUUUAGUAAGUCUACUGUUAAAUCUUGGGGCUUAACCUCAAAAUCGCAGUGGAAACUAUUAGACUAGAGUAUAGUAGAGGUAAAGGGAAUUUCCAGUGGAGCGGUGAAAUGCGUAGAGAUUGGAAAGAACACCGAUGGCGAAGGCACUUUACUGGGCUAUUACUGACACUCAGAGACGAAAGCUAGGGGAGCAAAUGGGAUUAGAUACCCCAGUAGUCCUAGCUGUAAACGAUGGAUACUAGGUGUUGAAUAGAUCGACCUAUGCAGUACCAAAGCUAACGCGUUAAGUAUCCCGCCUGGGAAGUAUGCACGCAAGUGUGAAACUCAAAGGAAUUGACGGGGGCCCGCACAAGCGGUGGAGCAUGUGGUUUAAUUCGAUGCA
rnacentral:rRNA from 1 species